rnacentral:rRNA from 1 species
GAUGAACGCUGGCGGCGUGCCUAAUACAUGCAAGUCGAGCGAACGGACGAGAAGCUUGCUUCUCUGAUGUUAGCGGCGGACGGGUGAGUAAAACGUGGAUAACCUACCUAUAAGACUGGGAUAACUUCGGGAAACCGGAGCUAAUACCGGAUGAUAUUUUGAACCGCAUGGUUCAAAAGUGAAAGACGGUCUUGCUGUCACUUAUAGAUGGAUCCGCGCUGCAUUAGCUAGUUGGUAAGGUAACGGCUUACCAAGGCAACGAUGCAGAGCCGACCUGAGAGUGGGCCGGCCCACCAUGGAACGGAGACACGGUCCACCCCCAUACGGAGGGCCGCAGUAGGCAUUCUCCAGCAAUGGCCGCAACCCUGACGGACCACCCCCGGGUGAGAGAGAAAGGUCUCGGGACCUUAAAACUUUUUAAUGGGGAAAAAACUUUUGGUUAAUUAAUGGUGCCCACUUUGAGGUUACUUAACAAAAAACCCCCGGCAAACUCCGUC